AUCCAGCUGACAAGUCCGAAUAGGACGAAACGCGCGUUCUGGAU
rfam:Schistosoma mansoni, Puerto Rico, WGS project CABG01000000 data, contig: 0049